rnacentral:lncRNA from 1 species
AUGUCAAGAUUGCUUGUGUAAAUAAGUGGUGCCAUGAGCUGACAGUGACUUUCUGUCCCUCUAGUCCUACCUCAAGAAUGUACUGACUCACCCUUCUCAACUGAUGACCGUCCUCGUACAAAAUCCUCACUGACCGUGGGCUCUAGAAAACGCCGGAACAGUAUGUAUCCUGCCGUCGCUGAAGACAUGUGUUAGAUAUGAAUUGUGUUAAUACUGCUUGUCUUUUGUCUGGUUGUACCACAGUGAGCAAAUCAG